rnacentral:ncRNA from 1 species
ACUGUGGAGUGUACAAGAACUUGUGAGGAGAGUAUUGUUUAUAAUCGCCAAAGUAUACACAUUGAAGCAGUAG